GACAGAGGGUGCAAACGUUGUUCGGAAUUACUGGGCGUAAAGCGCGUGUAGGCGGUCCGGUAAGUCCGCUGUGAAAGUCGAGGGCUCAACCCUCGAAUGCCGGUGGAUACUGUCGGGCUUGAGUACGGGAGAGGCGAGUGGAAUUCCUGGUGUAGCGGUGAAAUGCGCAGAUAUCAGGAGGAACACCGAUUGCGAAGGCAGCUCGCUGGAACGUUACUGACGCUGAGACGCGAAAGCGUGGGGAGCAAACAGG
rnacentral:rRNA from 1 species